rnacentral:rRNA from 1 species
AGUGAACGCUGGCGGUAGGCCUAACACAUGCAAGUCGAACGGAAGCACAGUAAGAGCUUGCUCUUAAGGGUGGCGGGUGGCGGGCGGGUAAGGAAUAGAUCGGCUACUAAUAUUUCGGGGAGGAUAACGUGGGAAAGCUGACGCUAACACAGAAUAUGACCAACGGGUGAAUGCAGGGGUGCAACGGGGCUUGGGCGACUGAAUGAGCCGAUGCCGGAUUAGAUAGUUGGCGGGGUAAAGGCCCACCAAGGCGAGGAUCCGUAGCUGGUCUGAGAGGAUGAUCAGCCACACUGGAACUGAGACACGGUCCAGACUCCUACGGGAGGCAGCAGUGGGGAAUCUUCCGCAAUGGGCGCAAGCCUGACCCAGCCAUGCCGCGUGGGUGAAGAAGGCCUUCGGGUCGUAAAACCCUUUCAUUGGGGAAGAACAACUGCAUAUUUAUCCCCCCCCGUUCUGACGGUACCCAAACAAUAAGCACCGGCUAACUUCGUG